UAGUUGAGAAGACGCUGAGCCGCCCCGUCUUGUGCUUGGUGCUUUAGAUUUGGCCGUUUGGGGUGGACUUGGCUUAUCCUGCACUACGG
rnacentral:pre_miRNA from 1 species